rnacentral:misc_RNA from 1 species
GCAAACUUGGUCAUUUAGAGGAAGUAAAAGUCGUAACAAGGUUUCCGUAGGUGAACCUGCGGAAGGAUCAUUACCGAAUGUCAAACACGGGCUGUUGCUGGCCCCCAAACGGGGGCAUGUGCACGCUCUGUUUACACAUCCACUCACACCUGUGCACUCUCUGUAGUUCUACGGUCUGGGGGGGACCUCGUCCUUCCUUUUGUAGCUCUACGUCUUUACACACACGCCAUAAAGAUGUCUCAUGGAGUGCCUUCUGCGUUUAACGCGAUACAAUACAACUUUCAGCAACGGAUCUCUUGGCUCUCGCAUCGAUGAAGAACGCAGC